UACGUAGGGGGCUAGCGUUGUCCGGAUUUAUUGGGCGUAAAGAGCGUGUAGGCGGCCAGGUAGGUCUGCUGUGAAAACUCGAGGCUCAACCUCGAGACGUCGGCGGAAACCAUCUGGCUAGAGUCCGGAAGAGGAGAGUGGAAUCCUGGUGUAGCGGUGAAAUGCGCAGAUAUCAGGAAGAACACCAGUGGCGAAAGGCGGCUCACUGG
rnacentral:rRNA from 1 species